CUAAAGCCCUGGGUAUCAUUUUCAUUGGCCCAGCUUGGGUCACAUGACAAGUCCAGAUCCAAUCAUUUUGUCAAGAGGAUGCAGUAUUCUCAUCGGCCAGGAAUGGAUCAAGUGUCCACUCGUGGAGUUGGCAGUCUUCAGUAAAGUUCCUUUGAAAAGUCUCCAACCCCAUCCUCAUGGAAAGAAGGGCAAAGCCUUUGCCCAUUGAAGUGAGGCAAGAUGGCCUUGGGCUGAGCCGCCUUCAUGUGGUGGAUGGAUUGUACAGGAGGUGAUUGUACCUCUCCCUACGUUGAUGGUGUGCCUGGCAUUUGACUGCCUUUGGCCAACAGAGUGAGGAAGAAACACACACCAAUACGCCCGAUCACAGACCCAAAGCCUAAAGCAGAAGCUGCCUCAGACAACUCAGGCCCCAGGGCAAGGCACAUCAGUGAUGGUGGUCGGAAGCUCCUGAGAUGUGGGGGGAGUUGUCUGUCGUGCAGCAUCAUCACAGCAAAAUCUGACUAUCGCAGUUUGAAAAUUCAGGAGGUUUUCCGUGGAGGGAGGCCACUAUUCCUUGAAGUGAGUACUCUGAGCGGUGGCCACUCUAUAUUCUGCCAAGUUGCCCUGGGAACCCAGAAAGGCACAGCCACCAUGUUUCAACACAGCUGCUGCAUUUCAGCUCCCACCAAAGGAAGUCUCCACGGCCCCGAAGGAGUUUCAGCAUCUUUUCUGGAGCCCUGCCGUUUGCCUUACCCUCCAUCCAGGGUCUCUCAGGAUCUUUACCCGCUGUAUGACCUUGGGCCAGUCAUUUGUCCUCUCUCAGCCUUAGUUUCUUCAUCUGCAAAAGGGAACAAUACUAACCCUUAGCUUUGGGGGAACUAAUGGGGAGAAUAUGUAUAAAACACAGAGCGGCUGGUGCAGUGAAAUAG